GACAGAGGGUGCAAACGUUGUUCGGAAUUACUGGGCGUAAAGCGCGUGUAGGCGGCUUGGCAAGUCGGGUGUGAAAGCCCUGGGCUCAACCUAGGAAGUGCACUCGAAACUGCUUCGCUUGAGUGUCGGAGAGGAAAGUGGAAUUCUCGGUGUAGAGGUGAAAUUCGUAGAUAUCGAGAGGAACACCGGUGGCGAAGGCGGCUUUCUGGACGAUAACUGACGCUGAGACGCGAAAGCGUGGGGAGCAAACAGG
rnacentral:rRNA from 1 species